GUUUGAUCGUGGCUCAGAACGAACGCUGGCGGCGUGGAUCAGGCAUGCAAGUCGGACGAUCUCGCAAGAGAUAGUGGCAGAAGGGUUAGUAACGCGUGGGUAAUCUCCCCUCGAGUUGGGAAUAACAUUCCGAAAGGAGUGCUAAUACCGAAUAAAAUUUCAUUAGCGCAUGUUGAUGAAAUCAAAGGAAGGGACCGCAAGGCCUUCCGCUUGAAGAUGAGCCCGCGUCCUAUCAGCUAGUUGGUGAGGUAAUGGCUCACCAAGGCUUUUGACGGGUAGCUGGUCUGAGAGGACGAUCAGCCACACUGGGACUGAGACACGGCCCAGACUCCUACGGGAGGCAGCAGUGGGGAAUUUUGGACAAUGGGCGAAAGCCUGAUCCAGCAAUGCCGCGUGUGUGAAGAAGGCCUGG
rnacentral:rRNA from 1 species